rnacentral:lncRNA from 1 species
CCCCAAAUAUUUUCCAGACCUUCAGAUAUAACCACACCCAACACCCCAGCAACCUCUCUCUUGCCAAACUGCUGCUCACAUUUUUGCUCAAGGUGAUUGCUGAUUUGUCUAGGUUUAUCUAUUGUUUCUUCAACUGAGGCCGAACCAAAUAAGAGACUAUCGUCCGCAAAAAGAAGUUGAUAAAACCGAGCCAACCCCCCG